GGAUUCGCUGUAAACCAUGAUAACGAUGAUCUUGAGAAAUAAUAAAUAAAGGGUGUCUUCUAAAUUGAGAGAUGGACAACAAUGACCCCUGGCGGACAUGGAGAUCUGUGCACGUGCAAGGGUCCGGAAGUUAAAUUAAAUAGAGAGCAACAAACACAGUUGCGAAAUUGCACGGUUGACUGAAAACGUUUCAUUUUUAAAUCAAGAGCAUUUAUAACGGCAUGGCAUUAAUAAUGGCUAAAACGUAAACUAACAAACUUGCUCAGGGUCGAAGAAAACUGUUGCUUAGCAACCAGUCGUCAAACAAUCACUUGCGUGGUCCACAGAACAAGAAAAAGAACUGAAUGCUUUAAGCUACCGUAAAAAUAACAAAUUCAGGGAGUUUUAUGUUUUGCUUUCCCAUUAGUUUUAUAUUUUUAUAUCGUUUCCUGUAAAUACAGCUUCAUCCACGAAUGGCAGGGAAGAAGAAAGAGGCAAGCCUGCAGGCAUCAGUUAUGAACCAAGAACAAUGGGAGGAAAUACUUACUACCAAAGGUUUGACAGUUGUGGAUGUUUACCAGCAGUGGUGUGGCCCCUGUCGAGCAGUGGUUAGUCUCCUCCGAAAGAUAAAGAAUGAACUCAGUGAUGACCUACUGCAUUUUGCCACUGCUGAAGCCGACAGUAUUGAUGCCCUGGAGAAGUAUCGAGGAAAAUGCGAACCCACCUUCCUUUUCUUUGGAGGUGGGGAGUUGGUGGCUGUGCUGCGAGGGGCCAAUGCUCCGAUGCUCCAGAGGAUGAUUGUGGAGGAGCUGGUCAAGGAAAAGCUGGUCAUGGAGAAAGGCAGUGGUCGCAAAGUGGUGAAGGAUUUUGGUCUGUUAAAUGAAGAGAAGAGAGAGGAGGAAGAGCUUCAGCAGCCACAAAAUGAAGAAAGUAUAAUUGUUCCUGCCAGUAAAGCCUACACAGUUGCCAUCAUUAAGCCUGACGCAGUUGCUCAUGGGAAGGCAAAUGAGAUCAUUAUGAAGAUUCAAGAUGCUGGGUUUGAGAUUCUUGCACACGAGGAGCGCACUCUGACUGAAACGGAGGCUCGAGAUUUUUACCAACAUAAAGCAGCGGAGGCUUGCUUUGAGGACUUGGUGCAGUUCAUGUCCAGCGGUCCGUCCUAUAUUCUAGUGCUUUCUCAGAUAGAGGGCACGGCCAAUAUCAUAUCAGCAUGGCGUGAGUUCAUUGGCCCAGCAGAUAUAGAGGAAGCCAGGAGAGAAAAGCCCGAAAGCAUACCUGGAAAGGAUCCCAGUUCUGGGUCUGGAGUAGGGAGCGAACAGCACAUUCUCGCCUGCUUGAUCAGACACACCCAAACAUUAUGCUUCUCUUUGGUUGAGCACCAGCCGAGCAUCCAUCUGGUCCUCUCUUCCUCCUUCCCCACCCGACUUCCUGCAGCUUGCGGGCACAAUACGGCACAGAGACGCUGUUCAACGCAGUGCAUGGCAGUGCGGACAGCGACCAGGCCAACAGGGAGCUCGCCUUCUUCUUCCCCAACUUUAGGACGGCCUCCGACGCAGAGCAGGAUGGGGAGGAAGAGCGUGUGGAGAGGACGCUGGCUCUCAUCCGACCCGACGUUGCCAGGGAGAACAGAGAUGAGAUUUUGGCCCAGAUUCACAAGUCAGGUUUCACAGUCGCCCUUCAAAAAGAGUGGGCCUGUACUGGCAUUAGCUCUGGUCAGGAAAGGAGCUGUCCAUCACUGGAAGAACAUCCUCGGUCCUCCUGACCUUCACAAAGCCAAAGAAGAGGAUCCUGAGUGUCUGAGGGCCAAAUUUGCUGUAGAAAAUGAGCCCAUCAACCAGCUUCAUGGCAGCGCAAAUCCCGAAGAGGCAGAAAGAGAGCUGAACUUUUUCUUUCCUCAACAACGAACGCUGGCAGUCAUCAAACCCGAUGCUCUGGAGGAACACCGAGAUACGAUUUUGGAAGAGAUUCAGGGGAGAGGCUUCACCGUGGCGCAGCUGAAGGAGACUUUGCUGUCAAGAGAGAUGGCUGAGGAGUUUUACAAGGAGCAAAGGGAGAAGCCAUUCUUCACGCAGCUGGUGGAUUUUAUGUGUCGGUUGGUUUGUCCCCACACACGAACACAGGAGCAAGGCAAACAGACCAGCUCCUUUUUCUCAUCUUCAAUUUAUACUGUGAUAUUGGAAGCUUAGAGUCAAGGCAGCCUGGGGCCAGAGGCUUGGAAGUCAAUCUCAGUUUCAUUCUUUGUUCAACAUCACAUCCAGUCUCUAGACUUAUCUUCCGCUCCGAUUAGUCCCUUCACCAGGUUGUUACACAACCGCUAGGCAGAGGAGCGACUGUGCGCAUCAGACUCAGAUCGUGAGCUGAUAUGAGCUUAGAUUGUAUUCUUGUUCCUGUUUUGUUGAGAUUAAGUCAAAGAGAGUGACAUACUCCUAGCAACAGCUGAAUUGUUAGAGGGAGGCGGCUGUGCUUUAAAGGGUAACCUUUCCCUGUAGCGUAUUUUUCAGCAGCUCUUUAGUAGCUUAUUUCAGGGAGCUGAGUUUCAGGAAUUGGCUGGUAUAAAACUCAUCUGAUUAGAUAAGCUGGAAUGAAAAUGUCAUCGUGUUAAAACUAAAAAUUCUAGGCAAAAAUUAACAACAUGUUCAAAUUGCUUUCAUUUAAAAUGGUAGAGGUAUAAUAAAGUUGAAUCUAGUCAGUUUACAAGCAAACAUAUUGCUGCUGGUCUGGCAUUCAUGAAGUAACACAGGUAACCUGAUAUUAGCUUGGUUAUCAGUAGCCAGCCAGCAGUCGUACAACAUAUGACUCACUAAAUGCAGUUCAAGAAAAAAGCAUUUCCUUUAAUAGGAGUGAUGGCUGAUGCUCCAUUGGUUUCCAUACCAUGACCGUUGUAUUUUUGUGAAUUUUUUCCAAACAACUAAACAUUUCUUUCUAUGGAAGGGAAAAGUGUAGCUACUUUUUUAGCCAACGCACUGACAGUCAGAGGGUCUGCAGUGAUUUGCUUUUCUGUCCUCCAUACAGCCAGGAAAACUCUAGUAAUUUGGUUUUUGCAUUUUUCAGAUUGUAACUUUUACAUAACUUUUGUAUAUACCAUGCAUGACUCAUGCCUAGUUGUGAGCUAAGUUUGCAGUAAUAAUUGGAAAUCAAUAAAUCCUAAUCUGAACCAAAAGCUGUAGAAAUCCUCCACUUGCACUUGUACCAGCUCCUUUCUAAGCUUAUUUAACUGCAAACUACUGCUGCUUGAGAAAGUUAUCAUGCAAUUACAGAACAAUCCAAAUAAAUUUUGUCGCUCCACAUUUUUUUAUAUUUAGUAUAAAAUAAUUAAAUCAGCUAUAUUAUUUUAUAGUAAUUUCAAAGUUCCUUUUAAUAGUUUUUCAGGUGAUUUUUCAAUUUUUCUGAGGAUGAUUUUCACUCAUUAUUGCUACAAACUUGUUGCAAAGACACAAUUUUUUCCUGUUUUAAUGAGUAAAUCUUUGAAAAAUAUGAACCAUAGCAGUUUGACAGACAGGAAAUAGUGUUUUAUCACUGACAAAGAGCGUUUUGCAAACAAACAUCUAAUGCAGAACCUGAAGAAUGUUCUCACAGGCCCUUUGCCAGGUCUUGCAAUUUUUUGGUUUUGCUCUUAUAUUCUUAAAAAAAUAAAUAAAAACAUGACUUUCAGAUGCUUCACUUCUGCUGUGGAUAGUUCUUGUGUUCCUGAACACUUCUCCUUUUGUCCUAUUUCUCUCCGUAGCAAAGCUUUUUACUAGUCACUACACAAUCUGAAGUCCAAAAAAAUAUUUGAAAGAUCAUCAAAAAGUAUGAAGAUCACAAAACGAUGUGGCUCAUUAGAAUGGGCCCUGCAUGAUGCUCGUCUUGACCAAGGAGAAUGCAGUGGAGGAGUGGCGGGCCAUGAUGGGCCCCAGCAAUCCAGAGAAAGCUAAAGAAAUCUCCCCACAGUCUCUGAGGGCCCGCUUUGCUGCCGACAUCCUCC